GUUUAGUGGAAUGUUUUUAAAAACAGAAGGAACGUGUUGUACCUUUUAACAAACAAUAUUUUGUUAGCUUUGAUGAUCGGUCCUGUGUCGUGACUUUUGCUUUGCUAAGACAACGGUCCAAACCAGCGAUGGAUUAUUGAAAUGUACAUGGACAAAGCUAACAAACUAUAGUAACAUCACUUUAACAAACGUGGUAGCUCCGAUUUCCAAUCGAUGUGUCAGUAUACUGCCCUCAAAUUUUAUUUGUGGUUUCAUUACAAUCUUUGUGCAAACUCUAAUGUUAAGCUGAUGGGUUUACAAUCCUGCUGCACGGUUACCUCCCUUACGAAAAAAGUACUAACGUUAUAGGAAUCUUAUAGUAGGCCUAUUUUGGGACAAAAUAUUAUAGGAAUCUUAUAGGAAUACUAUAGUAUUUUAGGACAUACUAUAUAGGUCUAAGUACUAUAAGACUACUAUAGAAAUAUUAUAGCGUCUAUAGAAUAGUAUAGAGGUAUUACAACAUCAUAGAAUUAUGUUAUGUUCCGCUUGUGUUGUCCUGCUGUGGCUGUCUAUUGUUGUUGUUGUUGUUCUGUGGAGUAUGUGUUGUGUGUGCAAUUGUUGUUGUGUGUUGUUUUGGUGGGCUGAUGGUUGUUGUUGACUGUUAUUGAAAAAAGAACACUAACUGUAGGCAUAGUAAUUGCUCUUGGAUGGGGAUUUAAAGCAAGGUUCCUAUUGAUCUCCUUCAGAUAAUGUGGCCUCUUCAUUUUCAACUGGGAAGGACCUGCAUGGACUUGAGAAUACAGAGCCAAUCGAAGUUCAAGAGGGAUCUCUCGUAUGCAGUGCUGCUCCUUUGCCUCGUCAAGAUGAAGAAUCGGUGCAGUGGUGAGGCUGGAGCACCCCUGGCUUUUGCCGUAUGGGUUGACUUCAGCAGUGAGUCACCCACCUUCAAUUUCACAGAUGCUUUGGGGGUGAGAGGCCAUACGUUGACCCUGAUAUCAGUGGCACACAUUGCCGGCUGGCAAUUGGUCAUCUGAUAAAAGAACAUGCACUGAGUCAGGGUUUGUCUCGGCCUGAAUAUCUGCCACAACACAGGCCGCCUUGGUGGCCCUUUGCCUCAGUCAGUGACGGAAAAGGUGAAGGGCGUAAAGCUUUCACUGCUGAAAAGCUGAGGCAGGUGGUACGCUCAUACAAUGCGUAUUACAAUCUCCAGCUGCAGCAGUCUGUUGAGGCACCACCAUCACCCCCAUCACCAGCAGCAGCAACACCAGCAGCAGCAGAAACACCUGCUGCGCCUCUCAC